rnacentral:lncRNA from 1 species
UUUUGUUUGUGAAUGUACUGAUAGCAAACGGUGUGUGCGCUGGAGCUCCGGGGUUCUUCAUGUCAACACAAUAUGUUUGUCUGUGGUGGGGAUCCAGUAGACGUCUGUUCUGAAUCACUCAUCCCAUCUCAUAUAUACACAUCAGGACUCAUGAAACAUGAAGAUAGCAAGCGUUUGCUACUGACACUCAGGAGUGAAUAUCAAGAGGGCAGAGCAAUCGUAGCCACACGCAGACUUCAUGUCGGAUGUGUCUACAGCACAAAACCAACCACAAAAAAAACGGUUGAGUUUACCUGGGAGAAUAUCCCACCUGUUGAGCAGCAGGGCUUCAAAGUGGCACCAAUGCAAGGAAGUGUGGAUGCAGGACAUAGAUGUCCCAUCACCAUCUCCUGGAUGCCACCUAGUGGUCUCGCUGUGAGUACUGAAAUCUUAGUUUAAACGGUUAGUUCACACCAAAAAUGUAAAUUCUGUCAUUAAUUACUCACCCUCAUGUCAUUUCAAACCCGUAAGACCUUCGU